rnacentral:rRNA from 1 species
GCCUAACAUCUAGCCCACCCCCCUCGCAUGACACCUCCCCCUUCCCCCCCACCCCCCCCCCCAAAAAAACAUUUUACUUUUUAGUACAGGCGAUCGAAAAAAUUAUAAGCGUUUCAGAUUAAGUACCGCAAGGGGAGUGAUGAAAUAAAAAUGAAAUAACUUUAAAGCCAUAAACAGCAGAGACACCCCUUCGUACUUUUGCAUCAUGGUCUAGCUGGUCUAACCAAGCAAAAUGAGAACUUUAGUUUGACAUCCCGAAACUAAGUGAGUUACUUCAAAACAGCCUUAAGGGCCCAACCCGUUUCUGUUGCAAAAGAGUGGGAAGAUUUUCAAGUAGAGGUGACAAGCCUACCGAACCUAGAGAUAGCUGGUUAUUCAGGAAAAGAGUUUUAGUUCUGCUUUAAGUCUUCUUAUUAAUCUAAACAAAAUUUUAAACUUAAAAGUUACUCAAGUAAGGUUCAGCUUACUUGAAACAGGAUACAACCUUAAAUAUUGGGUAAAUAAGGGAAACUCAGACAAAGUGGGCCUAAAAGCAGCCACCUUAUAAAAAGCGUUAAAGCUUAAUCACUAACCUACCCAUAAUUCCUCAAAUCCUUAUAAACCCCUCACCCCUACUGAAUCAUUUUAUAUUAUUAUAAAAACUAUUAUGCUAGAACUAUUAACAAGAAACCGCCUUUCUCCUUAAUGUAAGCCAGAACCGUAAUAAACCCUAUCGGUAUUUAACGUUCAUGCCUUAAUAAUAGCAACAUACAACUAGAAAACCUAUAACCUCAACGUCAACCUUACACUAGAACAUUACAGGAAAGAUAAAAGAAAGAGAAGA